rnacentral:tRNA from 1 species
AAACAACCGCCGGUGGAACGGAGUUCAUUGAUGUUGAACAAAAGAUAUUUUAAUAUGUUGUUUA